AGUGAACGCUGGCGGUAGGCCUAACACAUGCAGGUCGAACGGCAGCACAGUAAGAGCUUGCUCUUACGGGUGGCGAGUGGCGGACGGGUGAGGAGUACAUCGGAAUCUACUUUUUCGUGGGGGAUAACGUAGGGAAACUUACGCUAAUACCGCAUACGACCUACGGGUGAAAGCAGGGGAUCUUCGGACCUUGCGCGAUUGAAUGAGCCGAUGUCGGAUUAGCUAGUUGGCGGGGUAAAGGCCCACCAAGGCGACGAUCCGUAGCUGGUCUGAGAGGAUGAUCAGCCACACUGGAACUGAGACACGGUCCAGACUCCUACGGGAGGCAGCAGUGGGGAAUAUUGGACAAUGGGCGCAAGCCUGAUCCAGCCAUACCGCGUGGGUGAAGAAGGCCUUCGGGUUGUAAAGCCCUUUUGUUGGGAAAGAAAAGCAGCAGGUUAAUACCCCGCUGUUCCGACGGUACCCAAAGAAUAAGCACCGGCUAACUUCGUG
rnacentral:rRNA from 1 species